rnacentral:lncRNA from 1 species
UUUACAAUACAUGUCCACAUCUAACUAUUACAUAAAACAUGACUCCUUUACUCUUGUUGACUUCCUGAUCUAUCCCGUACCUGCAAACCUGGGGGUUAAGGGAAUGGGGUGAGCUACUAGAGCCCAGUGAGCAGAAUAGUAAAAACAUUAUAUUAAAAUUCAUGCUUUCAUGAAAUGCAUCACAUCACAAACAAAUCACAUCAAGGAUGGACUUGUCACCAAUAGCCCUCUACACAUUC